CCUACGGGUGGCAGCAGUGAGGAAUAUUGGACAAUGGGCGCAAGCCUGAACCAGCCAAGUAGCGUGAAGGAUGACUGCCCUACGUAUGGAAAACUUCUUUUGUAAAGAAAUAAAGUGAGGCACGUGUGCCUUUUUGUAUGUACUUUAUGAAUAAAGAUCGGCUAACACCGUGCCAGCAGCAGCGGUAAUACGGAGGAUCCGAGCGUUAUCCGGAUUUAUUGGGUUUAAAGGGAGCGUAGAGGGUUUGUCAAGUCAGUUGUGAAAGUUGGCCGCUAAACCGUAAAAUUGCAAUUGAUACUGGCAGGCUUGAGUACAGUUGAGGUAGGCGGAAUUCGUGGUGUAGCGGUGAAAUGCUUAGAUAUCACGAAGAACUCCGAUUGCGAAGGCAGCCUACUAAACUGCAACUGACAUUGAUGCUCGAAAGUGUGGGUAUCAAACAGGAUUAGAUACCCGAGUAGUC
rnacentral:rRNA from 1 species